AAGUGGCACGCGAGCUGGGUUCAGAACGUCGCGAGACAGUUCGGUCCCUAUCUGUUGUGGGCGCUGGAAGUUUGAGUGGAUCUGACCUUAGUACGAGAGGACCGGGUUGGACGGACCGCUGGUGAACCUGUUAUGCCGCCAGGUGUACGGCAGGGUAGCUACGUCCGGGAUAGAUAAGCGCUGAAAGCAUCUAAGUGCGAAACUAGCCACGAGAUGAGACUUCCUAAUAGGGUCGUUGUAGAUGACAACGUUGAUAGGUCAUAGGUGUAAAGGUU
rnacentral:ncRNA from 1 species